UUUUUUUUUUUUGGCUUUUUAGGGCCACACACAUGGCAUAUGGAGGUCCUGUGGCUAGGGGUCCAAUCGGAGCUGUAGCUGCCAGCCUACACCACAGCCACAGCAAUGAGGGAUCCGAGCCGCGUCUGCAACCUACACCACAGCUCACGGCAAUGCUAGAUCCUUAACCCACUGAGCAAGCCAGGGAAAAAUUUUUUUUUCCAAACUUUCUCCCUCAGCUGACCACAGUUUUCAUUCAACUGUGGACGAUUACGAGAGAAAUCCAGGAAAGAAAUUUAUUUAUUGCUCUACAACUUUCAUUAAACUACUUAUUAUACUCAGUACCAGCUAACUCUUCGAAACAAUUUCUCAAAGUUCUUCCAACCUUAUUCCAUUCAAGUAGUCCUAAAACGUUUAUUGAACCAUUGAAUUUUAUUGACUAAAAAUUCCUUUGAGGUACUUGCUAACAUUAUUAUCAUUAGGUAUUAGGAGGAUUAUUGCAAGUUCAUCUUGGUGAGGAUUUGCCAGAUGUAAGCUAUUAUUUUCUCCCAACCUUGUGAAAUCUUUGCUUCAGAACAAAAUCCUUAUAGGCAAUGGGAUCUGCAUUAGGCAGGUACACCUUCUGUAUUGGUGAUAAAAUAAAAGUACACACAUUUCUAAAAAUGUCAUUCAACUUAACAUGGCAGAUGCAAAACAGACGAAUGUUAUUCUUCUAAGAGAGUGACUGCUAAUCUUGAGAGAUGAACUGAAGCAUGUGAUCCAAGGUAUUUUUGCAUUGACUAUUGUUUUCUUCCCCACACAUUUCAGAAAAAAAUAAAACAGCUUUUAACAUAUAUUACUGAUAAUGAUUGUUUUCAGCACUGUAGUUUGUAACGACAUUUGGAAUUGAUCAACUUUUUUAUUUUUUUUUUAUUUAUUUAUUUUUGGGGUUUUUUUUUGUUUGUCUUUUUGCCUUUUCUAGGGCUGCUCCCGCGGCAUAUGGAGGUUCCCAGAAAAUUAAAAAACAGAACUACCAUAUCAUCAAGCAAUUCCAUUUCUGGGAAUAUAUCCAAAGGAAACAAAAGCACUAACUCUAAAAGAUACCUGUGCCCUUUUGUUCACUGCAGCAUUAUUUUCAAUAGCCACGACAUAGAUACAACCUAAAUAUCCAUCAGUGGAUGAAUGAAUAAAGACAUUGUGGUAUAAACAUAUACAAUGGAGUAUUAUUUAACCAUAAAUAAUGAGAAUUCGUGACAACAUGGAUGGACCUUGGAGGCAUUAUGCUAAGGGAAAUAAGUCAGAGAACAAUAAAUACUGUAUGAUCUCACUAAUAUGUGGAGUUAAAAAAAAUAAAGCUCAUAGAGAAAAGAUAAGCUUUCUGGAUACCAGAUGUGGAGAUGGUGGUGAGGGGGGAAUGGGAGGAAGGUAGUCAAAAGGUACAAACUUCCAGUUAUAAGAUAAGUAAGUACUAGGGAGGGAGUGACAACAUGCUGAAGACCGCUAACACUGCCAUAUGCUAUACAGGAGAAUUGCUAAGAAAGCAAAUUACAACAGCUCUUAUCACAAGGAGAAUUUUUUUCUUUCUUAUUUUCUUUUUAUUGUAUCUAUAUGAGAAGAAGGAUGUUAGCUGACACUUUUGGGAUAAUCAUUUCAUAAUAUAUGUAAAGCAAAUCACGCUGUACACCUUAAGCUCACACACGAUGCAUGUCAAUUAUUUCUCAAUAAAACUGGAAAGAAGAUAUUUAAAAGCAAUUAAAUAGGAAACCACAUAGUUAACAUAUCAUCCGUACAUUUUUCAGGACCAAGACUUAGAGAAUUAUCAUUGGGGUCAUUAAAACAGGUGCGACUAAAAUGUUUCACAACUGGAAGAAUCAUUAUUUUAAA
rnacentral:lncRNA from 1 species